GGUGAGAUAGUCAAGUGGCCAACGACGGCAGACUGUAAAUCUGCUCCCUUUUGGGUUCGCAGGUUCGACUCCUGCUCUCACCACCA
rnacentral:tRNA from 1 species